UCAAUCAAGUAGAAAAGAAAGAAAAAGAAAAUUUGUUAGUGGAAGCUCUUCAUUUUCGCUUCACAAUCCAACUUUUUUCACGACUCUCUCUCUUUCUUCAAUCCCUUCUCUUUCA
rnacentral:ribozyme from 13 species